GAGUAAUGCGUGACCAACCUGCCCCAUGCUCCAGAAUAGCUCUUGGAAACGGGUGGUAAUGCUGGAUGCUCCAACUUGACGCAUGUCUUGUUGGGAAAGUGUUUAGUGGCAUGGGAUGGGGUCGCGUCCUAUCAGCUUGUAGGCGGGGUAAUGGCCCACCUAGGCUUCGACGGGUAGCGGCCUGAGAGGGCGGACGGCCACAUUGGGACUGAGAUACGGCCCAGACUCCUACGGGAGGCAGCAUU
rnacentral:rRNA from 1 species